CGUUAAUUGACCUCGGAUCAGUAGGAAAUAC
rnacentral:rRNA from 1 species